rnacentral:rRNA from 1 species
UACGUAGGGUGCGAGCGUUAAUCGGAAUUACUGGGCGUAAAGCGUGCGCAGGCGGUUUUGUAAGCCAGAUGUGAAAGCCCCGGGCUUAACCUGGGAACUGCAUUGGUGACUGGCAGGCUUUGAGUGUGGCAGAGGGAGGUAGAAUUCCACGUGUAGCAGUGAAAUGCGUAGAGAUGUGGAGGAAUACCGAUGGCGAAGGCAGCCUCCUGGGCCAACACUGACGCUCAUGCACGAAAGCGUGGGGAGCAAACAGG